UUCCUUCGUCUGGGCCCACUGAAGGAAAAGGAUUUCAAUAUUUUCAAAUCGGUCUAUGCUCCAUCAGCAAGCACUGCCGACUACAAUAGGGACUCGCCAGGCUAUCCUUCCUCCAAACCAGCAACCAGCACUUUCCCUAGCU
rnacentral:sRNA from 2 species